GGAGCGGCAGGGGUCUGGUGGCCCGCGCGGCCUUCAAAGCCGUUGGGGCGGGGCAGCCCCCCGCUUGGAAGGUUCGAUUCCUUCGCCGCUCCG
rnacentral:tRNA from 1 species